rnacentral:sRNA from 1 species
ACAUUCAGCAGCCAAAGGACUCGGUGGAAAGAGCAGAACACUAUAGACAAUAUGUCGCUCUUGGGACCCAAGGUGCUGCUGUUUCUUGCUGCAUUCAUCAUCACCUCUGACUGGAUACCCCUGGGGGUCAAUAGUCAACGAGAAGACUAUGUGACUCAAGCGACUCCAGAAACAUUCACAGAAGAUCCUAAUCUGGUGAAUGAUCCCGCUACAGAUGAAACAGUUUUGGCUGUUUUGGCUGAUAUUGCACCUUCCACAGAUGACUUGGCCUCCCUCAGUGAAAAAAAUACCACUGCAGAGUGCUGGGAUGAGAAAUUUACUUGCACAAGGCUCUACUCUGUGCAUCGGCCAGUUAAACAAUGCAUUCAUCAGUUAUGCUUCACCAGGUAAGGGAUCCCAGAAUGCCCAAAAAGCAUCUUCCAUGGUAGUGUUUUUGUGUUGGUAACUAUUUAAUGAGCACCCACUAUGGAAUUGCAAACUUUGAUGGGGCCAAAGUUUUUAGCACAACCC